UCGAACUCCAAUCCCAGCCCCGUCAAAUCGUGUCCAUACAAGCUGCAUAAUUGGCAAUGAAAUGACUUCGCAGCUACAGAAGAUCAAUUGUGGAACGAGGCGGAUGAAUAACAACAAUGGGCCUAGUACUGAUCCCUGUGGAAUACCUUUUCUAACCAAUCACGAAAUCUGAAUCGGUGAGGCUGUAGGAUGAGUGGAUGACGCAGCUAUCAUUCUUAAAAAGUUUCAGUUGUUUGUACACGGCUAAUUAUAAUUAUGCAAGAUAAGCAUUUAUGCAUAUUACAAUACAGUAUAUUAUUCUGCAAGUA